AGCAAACGAGUAAUCAAAACGAGUAAUCAAAAUCAAGCCUACACCUUUAUUGUAGUAGUUGAAGUAUUGUGAUGUCUAACGUUGUUAAAAAAAAUUUUUUUCCAGGCCUGGGUCAGUGGGUGUGGAUACAGAACUUAUUUUUAAAAACCAGACUGUGCUUCCAAAUGCAACAAGCAUUGAAGAAUCUCUAAAGACAGCAAUUGCUGAAUCAAAAGUGUUCCUUGGUGUGAUUCCUUCCAGUAUUACUGUUGUGGAACAGCAAUAUACAACUUCAACCACCAGCCACACUCAGACAUCACAAAGUGUUCCUAUAAUGCAAACAUCAUCUGCUGUUGCACCGGUUCUGUCUAGUAUGCUGUUCAUGCUUCUGCUUCUACUAUGGAAUGAAACACUGUAAUUCUGCAAAGCUUUACUCCAUGUGUCACAUUCAAACCUACAAUUAAUAUUGUGACAACUCUAUUAUCUGCUUUUGUGAUAC
ensembl:lncRNA